AGAGUUUGAUCCUGGCUCAGAACGAACGCUGGCGGCGCGUUUUAAGCAUGCAAGUCGAACGGCAUAAUGUAGCAAUACAUUAGAGAGUGGCAGACGGGUGAGUAACACGUAGAUGAUCUACCCAAGAGUUGGGGAUAGCCUCCAGAAAUGGAGGGUAAUACCGAAUAAGCUCACGACCUCAUGGGGAUGUGAGAAAAGUUCCGUUUGGAACGCUUAUGGAUGAGUCUGCGUCUGAUUAGCUAGUUGGUGAGGUAAAGGCCCACCAAGGCGACGAUCAGUAGCCGGCCUGAGAGGGUGUACGGCCACAUUGGGACUGAGAUACGGCCCAAACUCCUACGGGAGGCAGCAGCUAAGAAUCUUCCGCAAUGGACGAAAGUCUGACGGAGCGACGCCGCGUGUGCGAAGAAGGCAGAGAUGUUGUAAAGCACUUUUCUUGCUGAGGAAUAAGCAUCUUAGGAAAUGAGGAUGUGAUGACGGUAAGCGAGGAAUAAGCCCCGGCAAAUUACGUGCCAGCAGCCGCGGUAACACGUAUGGGGCAAGCGUUGUUCGGAAUCAUUGGGCGUAAAGGGUGCGUAGGCGGUUCAAUAAGUCUGAUGUGAAAUAUGUUAGCUUAACUAACAGGGUGCAUUGGAAACUAUUGGGCUUGAAUAUGGGAGAGGCAAUUGGAAUUCCUGGUGUAGGGGUGGAAUCUGUAGAUAUCAGGAAGAACAUCAGAGGCGAAGGCGGAUUGCUGGCCUAAUAUUGACGCUGAGGCACGAAAGUGUGGGGAGCAAACAGGAUUAGAUACCCUGGUAGUCCACACCGUAAACUAUGUGCACUAGAUGUUGGGGAGUUAUCCUUAGUAUCGGAGCUAACGCGGUAAGUGCACCGCCUGGGGAGUAUGCUCGCAAGGGUGAAACUCAAAGGAAUUGACGGGGGCCCGCACAAGCGGUGGAGCAUGUUGUUUAAUCCGAUCGUACGCGAGGAACCUUACCAGGGUUUGAUAUAUAAGUGAAGUUGUUAGAGAUAACAAUGCCUAGCAAUAGGCGCUUAUACGGGUGUUGCAUGGCUGUCGUCAGCUCGUGCCGUGAGGUGUUGGGUUAAGUCCCGCAACGAGCGCAACCCCUAUUGUCUGUUACUACCAGGUUAAGCUGAGGACUCAGAUAAGACUGCCGGUGACAAACUGGAGGAAGGUGGGGACGACGUCAAGUCAUCAUGACCCUUACGUCCUGGGCUACAAACGUGCUACAAUGGUCGGUACAGAGCGAAGCGAAGUCGCGAGGCGGAGCAAAUCGCAAAAAAGCCGAUCUCAGUUCAGAUUGGAGUCUGAAACUCGACUCCAUGAAGGUGGAAUCGCUAGUAAUCGCGCAUCAGAACGGCGCGGUGAAUACGUUCCCGGGCCUUGUACACACCGCCCGUCACACCACCCGAGUGGGGUGUACCCGAAGUCGCUCGUCUAACAAGCAAUGGGGGACGGUGCCGAAGGUAAACUCUGUAAGGGGGGUGAAGUCGUAACAAGGUA
rnacentral:rRNA from 1 species